rnacentral:rRNA from 1 species
GACAGAGGAUGCAAGCGUUAUCCGGAAUGAUUGGGCGUAAAGCGUCUGUAGGUGGCUUUUCAAGUCCGCCGUCAAAUCCCAGGGCUCAACCCUGGACAGGCGGUGGAAACUACCAAGCUGGAGUACGGUAGGGGCAGAGGGAAUUUCCGGUGGAGCGGUGAAAUGCGUAGAGAUCGGCAGGAACACCCAGGGGGAAACCAGCCGACUGGGCAUCUGCUGACGCUGAGGUGCGAGAGCGUGGGGAGCGAACCGG